UUGCAAGGAAGGGAUUCUGGAGUCGAGGACGAUGUGCAGUGCCUUCGGGAAGAAGUGAGAUACGAUCUGCUCUAAUCUUCCUAUGUCUGGUGAUGGCAGAUUCUCGGGAAAAUCCAUGGCUAAAACGACACAGAUCUAAAAUCUAGAGGUGGUCGAGUGAAUCGUGAGGAUCUUAUCUCUAGAGCGGUUAUUACGAUUGAACAAAGAGGAUCGAUCAAAGUUCGAUAGCUAGGGUGGUUACCUGUGAGGAAGGGAGACGCGGGUUAUUGGAUCAUCUGAGACGUCAACGAUAGCGUAAAGGUGUUUCGUGGAGAGACGAUGAAGAAGAAGAAGAAGACCCAAAGAGCUUGACGAAAACACUUGUUGUACACGAUCGAUAUACAUUUAGAAGAAUACACUUCUCGGAAACUACCAUUUAUCACUGGUUUUAGGAAAUUAAAUUAAUUUUGUUAAUAGCGAGAUGAGUAUAGAAUCAACAAACCAAUGAGAGAGAGCCAUGUCCUGAUUUGUUCCUUUCCUUACGGUUUUAUCCUUCUUUUCCCCUUUUAAUUACAUACAGAAGGCUCCACGAGCUUUUUAGUAGAGGUUGUGAAGUCUACGCGCUGUGACAGUUAAUGCUCAAUUGCAAUUUACAUGGGAUCCCUGUCCGGUGUGAGUAGGGCGGUCGACGUUAGUGAAAAAUCGGAAUAUAAUUGGAGUAUAUGCGGGAAUUAGUUUUUUUUACGUUUAUAUAUGUAUAAAUAUUAAAUAUGAAAGCAAGGUACAAUAAAAUUAGCCCAAGUUCGAUGUCCGUGGACACCUUCUUUUCCCUUUCUUUUUUCUAUCUUCUAAAUGAAAGGCAACUUUGUAAUUUAUUUUGUCGUCUUCUCUCUUAAUCUACGAGCUUUCUUGCUCAUAAAUGGCAGCCUCCAUUUUUUUUUUCUCAUAUCUUUCACUCUUUUCUCCAGUUUUGUAUUCGUUUUGUUUAAUAAUUCAUAGAUUUAGGUUAGAUUCUAAAAAAAUGGAAUUUAGUUACAUAAACGAGUUGAAAAUAAUCGUCGUGUUUCACUAUUAUGCUGACUAUGCGUCUUCCCGCCUUGGUCCUCCGAUUUGCUCCAUAUCGGCACGGUCAUGCUCCGACCACCGCCUACUCAUCCGAUUAACCGGCUACGCCCCCGCGUUUUCGAAUAGGGCAAUGGGAUAUAAGGAUUAAAUAUAAGGAACAUUUUUAAUAUCGAUUCAAAUUGGAUGACAUGCUAUAACGUCUGGAUUCUGACAUCACGUUUUUCUUCUUCUAUCCCCACGACUAUAACUCAGGAAUCACCGGACACAAGAUUUACACACAACAAUAUUAUAUUGAGUUUGUGUAAACCACGGCAUUAAGAUUCUUCACUAUUAUAUUGACACAUUAAAUAUGUAUAUCACACGCAAAAGCUCUUACCAACAAGUUAAUCGUUAAGGCCACCAUGGCCAUAUAUGUAUAGUGAUAUAUACAACGCAUAUUCCUUUUUCUUCUUUAAUUCAUAACUUAUAAUCUUCUAAUUAGCUUUGUGACGAAAUACAUUCAAUAUAUCUCUUUAUUAUUAAAAGGAAAGCAUUUUGAAAAAUCAACCUUUAAAUUGUAACUAGGAUAAGACAUACGAGUUUUUAUGAUAAAUAUUUAAAACAUAUAAUAUUGACAAAUGAUGUCAUGUCACUCGGUUUAAUUACGGCUUCGGUAUAUGUCAUGUCCCCGAUUCUCGAUAGGAUCGUCCGGACGGGCCAUGGUGCAAAGAGACGCACGAGUCAGGUCGAAAGACCUUGAGACAAGCGUAUCAUGGUCUAAAUUGAUGGUUAAGGAAGUCAUGCAGCUGAGACUUAACCUGGAUACGAUGGAGACAAGUUAAAUGGAGCUGGACGAGUGAUCCGAAAGCUAGGCGAGUUUCGGUUCAAGCUCAAUCAGCUAGGUGAAGCUUGGAGCUAGCUCACUUAGUCUUAGCCAGCUCACUGGAGCUGAUGGACUAGCUCACUCAGCUGGGGACAGCUGGUGACCAGAUCAUCUCAGCUUGGCGGAGUGUUCCGGUCCGGACCAGUGUGGCCGGGGCAGAGCGGUUACCAGUCCGUGCCGGCGGCUCAUGUGGGACGAUGGGGUCGUGUGCAGCCAGGAGCAAACCAAGGCUUGGGCAAAGGCCUGGGGGUUGGUUUUCUAAUCUUCCUAUGUCUGGUGAUGGCAGAUUCUCGGGAAAAUCCAUGGCUAAAACGACACAGAUCUAAAAUCUAGAGGUGGUCGAGUGAAUCGUGAGGAUCUUAUCUCUAGAGCGGUUAUUACGAUUGAACAAAGAGGAUCGAUCAAAGUUCGAUAGCUAGGGUGGUUACCUGUGAGGAAGGGAGACGCGGGUUAUUGGAUCAUCUGAGACGUCAACGAUAGCGUAAAGGUGUUUCGU
rnacentral:lncRNA from 1 species